GCAGCUUCUUCACUCGACUCUGAGAAAGCCUGCUGAACGGGUGAGAUCACUGAAACCAUGCUGAAGACACUUCUUCUCCUUGGAUGCCUCCUGAGCCUCAUUGUGGCUCAGCCUACGGAGCACCAGCGGUUUGAACGCUCUAGCUCCAACUCCAAC